GAUGAGCUCAGUGACAAGGUUUCCUUCCAGCUCUGCAUGUGUUCUCAGACCGCAAAAUGAUAUGUAAUUUAUCCACUUGUUACCAACUGUGAAUCAAAAAGAAAAUACUAAAAUCAACAUCACCGUGCCCAACUAAGGUAUUGUAGGAUCCAUUGUUCCUGCACCGGGGCUUCCUCUACCCCAGCGACUUCAAUCAUCAUUGCUACACAGGGCCAUGGAACCAGAGUUUUUGGUUCCUUUGUAUCAUCUGGGGCUGCCUCAUGAUCCUGAGUAUAAUGCUUUAAGACUUAAAACAAUUUUUCAACAGAGUCAUGGAGAAGAGCCUUUGCCAAGUGAAGGAAAUCAAGGCAAGUCGAGAACUAUUUUACUCUGAAGAAAGCUGACUUCACAGGAAACAAAUACAAAGUCGGUGGUGUUAGUGUGCACCACCAAACAGUGAGGAAUGCGAGUGAUUUCAGAGGAAAACAAAACUCCAACAACACAGAUACUCUAACACCAUUGUGAAGAAAGGGAAAGACCAGUCCUGGGGAGGCUCCCAGAUGAUGUCAUGGGAUAUGAGACUCCAGACACAUAGUCUGGGACUAACUCUGAUUGACAACGCUGUCUGGGUACCAGAAGGAAGUUGAACCCCACACAAGUGCCCGGAAGUACACAAGGCAACGUUGAGGGGAUAAAAAAAAAAAAAAAAAACAACCAAGAGUUAUCAUAGGCUUACUGCUUCAAUUUGGAGCUCUGAGUACUUGUGCAUUUAUAAUCCCCCUUGAACACCCCUGGCCACUAAUUUACACUAAUGUAGUCCUAAAGCCUAAAAUGCUAUAUAUAAUUCACAAAAAGUUAUACAACUGAUAACAGAAUGCUUUAACCUGAACAUUCUCUGGGGAUUAUCAGAUCAGAGACUGCUAGGGCUGGAAUUCUUCUCAGGAAUUUUAAUUUCGUCACAGCUGCAGCUUCAUUCAAAUUAACUGAAGCAGCAACAGAAGCCGCAGCCCUGCCCCCAAUUAGAGAUGAGGAAGCUGGGCCUUGUAAAACCCACCACACACUAACAAAAACAGACCCGGCAAGGCAACCUUUUUCUUCAGAAAAGGGCACUGUGUAAUUAAUCUUUUCUCUCUGAGUUCAGAACACGAACAUUUCCCCCACAGAGAGGCCUUAUUUUGACUUGUUCCCAGGGUGCUUAGAAACCUUCCCCCAAGCAGCUUUACCAUUGAAAUUGUUUCUUGUGUUAAAAUCCAAUUUAUUUUCCCUGAAUGGCAAAGGCGAGAUGAGGAUCUGGAGCUGAAGUAAAAAAACGCUUUAUCUAAGCGCAGGAUGUUUUCACCAUUGACAAAGGAAGAACCAGCUUUGACUCCUUACUUUCCAAUAACCUCACCUUCUCCUUACAAGCACUGGGCAGUGUGGGUGACUUUCCACCUCACUCUGUUUUAUCAAUGCAUUUUAUAUAGAUUGAUUCAUCAACCCAUAGAGAUCAAGAUGACGCUCUGUGACAUCUGCUCUCUCCUGGGUAUAACUGUCUGAACACACCGUCAAUAAAAACUUCCUAACCUUUCCAACACUGAUAGACAUGUGUGUGCAUGUAUGAGAUACCUGUAGGGGAAGUUCAAGCCUAUUUAUUUACUUAUGUAUAUAUUUACUUACUUACUUACCUACUGACUUAUUUUGAGGAACAGAGUCACUGUGUAACCCUGCCUGUCCUGAAAUUCCAUACGUAGAUUGAGCUGGCUUUGAACUCACAGAGUCCUGCCUCUGCUUCCUGAUUGCUGGGAAUAAAGGCACACAGGCCAUCAUACCCACUUAAACCUACAGUUUUUAAAGCUAAGAAAUCCUCGAAAAAUUCAUAAAAAUCUGUAAAUAUUUCCAAAAGCUCUGUAGCGUGAAAAUUUCCACUUUUAGUUGUACAGUUCAGGGCUGGGAAUAAGGUUCAGUGGCAGAAUGUUCAAGGCUUUCCAUCCAAUCCCAGACGUGCAAAUAAAUAAAAACUAUGGUUCGGUAGAUGUUCUUUUGGUUGUUUUGUUUGCUUGCUUGUUUGAGACAAGGUCUCACUAUGUAGACCAGGCGAGCUUCCAAUUCAACGAGAUCCAUCUCCCUCUGCCUCCCAAGUGCUGGCUUUAAAGGUAUGUACUACCACAACCCAGAUUACUUCAUUUGAGGCAGAUUUUUUGAGAUUUAUUUUCCAUGUAUCCCAAGUUGUCCCUGCAUGUGCUGUAUAUCAAGGAUGACUUAGAGUGUGGAUGACCUGUAUAUCUAAGGAUGAUCUUCCUCUCUUUCUUCUGAAUGCUUGGAUUACAGAUGUGCACUGCUGUACUUGGUGUGUGUUCUGAGUGUUUGGGUUUUUAAGAAGUAUAUUCACAGUACUAUAUAACUAUCACAUGACCUAAUUUUAAGACAUUUAUAUCCCCAUGCCCAUCUACUUGGCGUCUGAUGCUACCUACUCUCCCCAGACCUUAGCAAUCACCACAAAACUUUCUUUCUGUUGCUGUGUAUUUACCUAUUAAAGAUAUUUCAUAAAAAUAACAUGUGGCCUCUCGUGCCUGGCUUCCUUCAGGUAGCCCAGUACCUACAUGAUUCAUCCAUAUUUUAGUGCAUACGGUUUCAUUGCUUUUCAUAGUUUAUCAAUACUAGCCCAUCAUUAAGAUAGACAGUGGUGGAGAAGGAUACCUGAUGUGUCUCUCUGGCCUUCACGGGUGCACACGCAUGCUCAUGUAAUGCACACCUUGAUCAGUUAUUGGACAUUGCCUGGUUUCCCCUUUCCAUCUAUGUUAACUAUGACCACUCAUGUGCAAAUUUUGAAUAGAUGCAUUGUUUUUUUGUAUAUACUACAGAAAAUUUCUGGCUUAUACAGAACUCUAUGUCUAACCUCUGAGGAACUACCAAACUGUUUCCAAAUGACACUGUACGAUUUGCAUUCACAACAGCAAAGCACGAGGGUCCCACUGUUCAUACACUCUUGGCAAUGCCUGAUGUUACUUUAGCCAUCCUAGAGGGGGUGGGGCUGCAUCUCAAGGUGGCUUUCACUUGGUUUUUCCCAAUGGCAAGUGAUAUUGGGCAUUUUUUAUGUAUGUAUUUACUAGUCAUCUCCAUAUCUCUAUGAAGUUAAAUGUCUGUUUAGGUAUAAAAUGUUUGAUAUAUAUAUAUAUUCUUUCCUUCCUUUUUCUUACCCACUAAGAAUGUACUUGCAGAAAGAACUGCAGCAGUGUUUCCUUUCUCGUCUACAAUUGUCUCAAAGGUCAUAAAGACGGUUAUGCAAUGGGCUGUUUUCACUAAGAACAAACAAGAAAGUACUACCAGAAUCCCUGGACUUCUGCAUAAGCAGAUGCGAUAGAUACCUGCUGGCCCCUUAGGUCUGUUUCCCUCAUCCUUAAGACAGGGAUGACCCCUAUGGAGUUGCUUUAGAGAUAAGCAGAGAAUACAUACAGACCAUCCAUGUGAGACUCCUCAGUAAUUACUGAUAUUAUAAAAGUAAAUCAAUAAAAGUUGCAGAGUAUUUCUAGUGUUUCUCACUCACGCACCUCAUGCACAGGUGGUCUCAUUUGAACACUGGUUUGGGUGCUUUAAUGAGAAAAGGUGGUUUACCUCUGUUGAGCAUUUUGUGACGCAGCUUACAUAUAAAUACACCGUGUGACAUUCGAAGACUCCAGGAUAGCUUUUUUGUUCAUCCAUUUGAGAUGUGUGCUCAUGGAAUGGCGCUGUUCACACUAGUAGGAGAUCACACUAGUUAAGUAGGAAGGGCUACUCCUACUAGUGUGAACAGCGCCAUUCCAUGAGUAGGUUCCAGACUGAACAAAAAGGACAAAAGGCUCAUUUGCCUCCCUCUGAUGCCUGACUGGGAAUUCAGGUGACCAGCCAUCACAGCACUGCUGUCAUGCCUUCCCUGCCAUGAUGGGUGGGACCUUCAAGCUGUGAGCCAGAAAUAAAUCAGCUCUUCCCCAAGCUGCUUGUCAGAUACUUUUCACACAGACAAGGAAAAUAACUAAAAGAUGCCAAGCCUGCUCUCUACCCCUAAUCCUGUUAACCCCUGAUGUUCCCUAGAAACAAUCACAGAAGAAGCAGAACUUACGCUCUGGCUUUAACUGUUCAAGGAUGGAGCUCUCCCCUCUGCACAUGGUUCUGAAAAAAACACAAAGGCACAGUUAUCAAGGUCCCCACACAGGUAAAGGCACAGUUAUGGAGAUUCCUAAUAACCAAGUCUGAUACCAAUACCUGUGGAAAUGAUCCUAACCCAAGCAGAAACAGGUACUUUCAUGAGAAAGUUCUAUUCUCAUUUUUCUCAUUUUCAAAAGUUGAAACCAUAAUAAUAGGCAUUUUUUUGUAAUGUUACUAAAAAAAAAAAAAGGUAGUUAUCUUGAGGUGAGCCAAUAGAAGAGUUACAAAAUUGAUACCAGGUUUUAGGAAGAGAGAUGGGCUCUGAAUGAACUUCCCCUUAGAAAACCUUGUGCUGGGGAAUGAUAAAUUUAGGAGUCUUCACAGAUAAGAGCACUUAUGCAGUCAUCCUGCUUUCUGGGGUGAAAAGGGCAAACUCUUGGCAGAGCACCCGAGAUAGAGCAAACUAUUAUACUGGGUUAUUUCCAUGGAGUCAGCAAAAACCUGGACAUGAGAAAAAUCAAGGUUUCAAUAACUGGCUCUGUGAAUGAUCUUUUUGUUUCUCAAGCUGUUAAAUAUUGAUGACUCUAAUGGACAAGCAAGGGGCCCUGAGGCCAGCCAUCCCUGAUGGCUCUCUCAUGGUUACAGGGGAGAGGGAGAGACAUUUUCUUUGGUGGUGUGCCACCAAUAUGCUCACACUUCCACAAAUCGCCUCUCAUGAACACACCUGUAAACAACACUAAUGGAAUUCACAGGUUCACAAAAGAAAGAGAAAGGAAAAAGCAAAGCAGAAGAGAAACUAGGUUGGCCUGAGAGAGGACAAAGAAGACAAUGGGGGGAUGGGAAGGUAUAGAUAUGAUCAAAUUAUUAGAGGAGUGUAAGAAAAAUGUCAUAACACAUUAUUAUUUAUAAUAUUAGGAAGUGCUCAUAAAACUUUAAAAUUAAAACUGAAAAUAUUAGAUCUGGGUGAUAAUAAAAAUGUAUUUAAAAAAGAAAACCAAAAACUUUUUGUUCCAUUUGCCUGCUGUAUAAAAGUAAUUAACAAUACGACUAUGCCUGGGAAGGCUGACAGCCUUCAAAUAGAUGUUUUUCAUAAUGAAAGGUGUGAUGGUUUGCCCAGGGAAUGGCACAAUUAGAAGGUGUGGCCUUGUUGGAGGAAGUGUGUCACUGGGGAGUAGGGGUGGGCUUGGAGACCCUCCUUCUAGCUGCCUGAGGAUGCUCAGUCUGUUCCUGGAUUCCUUCAGUGUAGAACUCAGCUCCUCCUGCACCAUGCCUGCCUGGAUGCUGCCAUGUUCCCACCUUGAUGAUAAUGGACUGAACCUCUGAACCUGUAAGCCAGCCCCAGUUAAAUACUGUCCUUUAUAAAACUUGCAUUAGUCAUCAUAUCUGUUCUACCACGGUAACUAAGACAAAAAGUCAUAGUUUGGGUUGCUGAACAAUGGCCAAAUAUGUAUUUCAUUCAGCUGGUUCAAAAAAAAAAUCAAGAAACAGUCAUAGGAAAUAAUCACAACAAUAUUCCAAAAGUAAUAUUUGAAUUGCCAAGAAAGCAGAUAGAGUACAAGAGUACAAACAUCAAACAUCACAAAGUAACACAGUUAUGUCCUAAAUUAGACAACAUCAGAGAUGAACCCAUCUUCAAAUAUGUAGACCCAAGGUUGUCAUUGUAACCAGAUGAAUUUCCCCCCAGGUAACAGCAUCAGCCCUAAUAUUUACUUAAAAUACUGGCAGAUACAUAGGCACAAGUUGGAAGUCAGUGGGAGAAAGAAACCAACUGCUGGGCAUGGUGGCUCAUGCCUUUAAUCCCAUACAGGAAGACCUGGGUCCAUUCCCAGCACUGCAAACCAGGCAGGUGGCACACACAUAUAAUCACGGCACUUGGGAGGUAAAGACAAGAAAUCACAAGUUCAGAGUCAGCCUCAGCUGCAUAGGGAGUUCCAAGAUAGCCUGGCCAUAUGAGACUUAGCAUCAAACGCCACCUCAAUCGCACCCAAGGGCACCCUCAAACUGUCAUCAGCAGCAGCUGGGGACCUUUGAAGCCAAGCAAGGCACAUGCCACCCUCCACCCAAGUGUGACCAAGGCCCUGAACCCUUCUAUGUGUGGUCCACAUAAAGUCUCAUUCUGUCCCCUCCUCGACCCCCAAAAGGGAUGAUUAGAAAAGUGUGAAACAUAAAGAAAACAUCCAGGUUGUCAUCUCUGCUCUGUCUAACCGAAUGCACUCAAACCGUAUCUGCGUCGUGUUAGCACUUACUUCUCCUGCUUUACUCUUCUCUACCUACUGAAAAGAAUAAAGGGAUUCAUGGUACAGAGAUAUUUCUCAUUAAAUGAUGUAUUAAAAUGAAUAUAAAAGAUGCAGGAGCUGGGCAUUCAGGAGGUGUCUCUGAACUUCAAGGCCAGCCUGGUCUAGAUAGUGAGAUGGAGAGCAGGAGGGAAGGAGGAAAGGGGAGGGGAGGAGAAGAGACAGACAGGAGACAGAUACAGAGCGACUAGUAUUUUGGUGCUGUUGCACUUGACAGGGCCACCAGGUAUAACUGUGACAUUUGAAUCUCAUCACCUAGUACAGGUGAGGUUUAAAAGCACGAUACAGAGCAAACUUGCAAAAACAUGGCCGCUCCCUUCUUGGAGCUCAGUGUACCUGUAGU